rnacentral:rRNA from 1 species
GACGAACGCUGGCGGCGUGCCUAAUACAUGCAAGUAGAACGCUGAAGGAGGAGCUUGCUUCUCUGGAUGAGUUGCGAACGGGUGAGUAACGCGUAGGUAACCUGCCUGGUAGCGGGGGAUAACUAUUGGAAACGAUAGCUAAUACCGCAUAAGAUUGACUAUUGCAUGAUAGUCAGUUAAAAGGUGCAAUUGCCUCACUACCAGAUGGACCUGCGUUGUAUUAGCUAGUUGGUGGGGUAACGGCUCACCAAGGCGACGAUACAUAGCCGACCUGAGAGGGUGAUCGGCCACACUGGGACUGAGACACGGCCCAGACUCCUACGGGAGGCAGCAGUAGGGAAUCUUCGGCAAUGGACGGAAGUCUGACCGAGCAACGCCGCGGGAGUGAAGAAGGUUUUCGGAUCGUAAAGCUCUGUUGUAAGAGAAGAACGAGUGUGAGAGUGGAAAGUUCACACUGUGACGGUAGCUUAACAGAAAGGGACGGCUAACUACGUG